AUGGUUGAAUACAAGAAAAGAGCUUCACAAAUGGAGGCCGAGAGACAGAUUCAUUACAACAAAAACCUCCUCAAUCAGAUUCAGUCCAUUCUUUGGACCAAUAAGGCACCAAAAAUAUUGGACGUGCCAAAGCCUUCAGAGCAGUGCCUGUCUCCAUCUCCAUCUCCAAAAACAGACUACAGGAAUGGCUUUACAGUACCUGAUGCUGCAAACAUUACAUCUGCUGGGGCCACAGAGCCCUACAUUUUGUCUAAUGAGCAACCGGUGACCCCUUCAGCUGAGCUGCCUGGGGUGAUGAGAAGAAAAUCCACAGAAGAAAAACAAAUGCAAGAGGAAGGAGUUUGUCUGCAGAACCUGCUGAAGAAAUCACGUGAAUUUAUGGAAAAAGAGCAAGGUAAACUGGGGUCAAAGGUCAUCAGCAACACAAUGGCUGAUCCAAGCAGGAUCCUCUCUGAAAGCCUGCCGGAUAAAGAAAACGGCUGUUCUUUGGAUGGGACUGCCUUUGGUUUACCCUUUUAUAUUCCCUCACCAAACCAAACCUCUCCUAGUAACCUGAUAAGCCCAGAUCCUGGUCUAAAGGCCAGUUUAAUUGCCAAACCCCACCGCAGACGUCCUCGUCCCAUUUCUGCCGGGAGCAUCUUCUUUUCUUUCCUUGAAAACCCCAACCAGCCGAACAUUACAGUGAAUGCAAGGACACCGGAAGUCAAAACAAUCACAUCUCAGGACAGGAAGCUACUCGGAGUGGAAAAUGUGUGUAUGGGUCGAUGUGAUGAUCACUCGACUGUGGGACGACUGGAAACGUCUCCAGUGGAUCCUGAGCUCACAAGCCCUCUGUUUCGAAGGAGAUGCCACACGCUGGAUAGCCACCUGUCCUCACGUCAUCAGAGUCCCGUCAUAGACCGGAGCCAGGAGAGAAUGCCUCGCUUUAUGGCCGGGGUCACUGCGAGAACGCCCACUCGACUGUCUCCUCCUUCACCGAUGAACAAGACUUUCACACGGGACAGUCCUGUAGCAGCAUUUAUGGGGUCUGGGAUCACCCCAGACUCUCCUUCUCGGGCCAAACUACCCUUUGAGACCGAGAGAAACAGUGUUGUUAGCACAGCGCUGAAAGAAAGGAGAUCAGGUAAGAACAGAGCAAAUGUUAAAAAUGAAGAUUCGGUUUAG
rnacentral:lncRNA from 12 species